CGUACGGGUGAGUAACACGUAUCCAACCUGCCGUCUACUCUUGGACAGCCUUCUGAAAGGAAGAUUAAUACAAGAUGGCAUCAUGAGUUCACAUGUUCACAUGAUUAAAGGUAUUCCGGUAGACGAUGGGGAUGCGUUCCAUUAGAUAGUAGGCGGGGUAACGGCCCACCUAGUCUUCGAUGGAUAGGGGUUCUGAGAGGAAGGUCCCCCACAUUGGAACUGAGACACGGUCCAA
rnacentral:rRNA from 1 species